AUCCUCAAGCAUUCUUGCUUGGUUGUGGAGGAAGAGGGUCCUUGGACCGUCCCCUCUGGAAUUUCUCAGCAGAGACCGCAACAGCCUCAGGUGUGAUAACAUUACCUCGCUUGAGGGCUGCAGUGGGCUCCCGCUGCGUUGAUCCCCCCAGCAAUACUAUGUUUGACCUCGGAUCAGGUAGGGAUACCCGCUGAACUUAA
rnacentral:misc_RNA from 1 species